rnacentral:rRNA from 1 species
AAGCAACGCGAAGAACCUUACCAGGCUUGACAUGCAGAGAACUUUCCAGAGAUGGAUUGGUGCCUUCGGGAACUCUGACACAGGUGCUGCAUGGCUGUCGUCAGCUCGUGUCGUGAGAUGUUGGGUUAAGUCCGCAACGAGCGCAACCCUUGCCUUUAGUUGCCAGCAGUUCGGCUGGGCACUCUAAAGGGACUGCCGGUGUUAACCGGAGGAAGGUGGGGAUGACGUCAAGUCCUCAUGGCCCUUACGGCCUGGGCUACACACGUGCUACAAUGGUCGGUACAAAGGGUUGCCAAGCCGCGAGGUGGAGCUAAUCCCAUAAAACCGAUCGUAGUCCGGAUCGCAGUCUGCAGCUCGACUGCGUGAAGUCGGAAUCGCUAGUAAUCGUGAAUCAGAAUGUCACGGUGAAUACGUUCCCGGGCCUU